UCUUUAGCUCAGCUGGAUAGAGCAACUGCCUUCUAAGCAGUAGGUCGGGGGUUCGAGUCCCUUAAG
rnacentral:tRNA from 1 species